AUGCUCAGUAAAUGGGCUUCAAGCGUGUGUUUGACUUCUGUCAUUUCCAGGGUCGGGUUCCACAGUCCAGCAAAUGCCCCCGAGUCUCUGCUGCCUGGGGAUCAUCCUGACCUGUGGCCCCGGCCACUCCACUCCACGUCCCUCCUUACCUGUCCUCCAGCUGAGCUACAGGCCAGCUCCUCUGAGCUCAAAGCCUGUGGGGCAAAUCCACAAGGGCCACGUCUGAACCUUCUGUCCGGCCUCAGCACAACUGGAGAGCAUUCAUUGGCCCACCACUCUGAGCAAGACAGACAACAGCUGGCGUGGUGGCUCACGCCUGUAAUCCCAGCACUCGGGAGGCUGAGGCAGGAGGAUCGCUGUGAGUUCGAGACCAGCCUGGGCUACAUAGCGACUUCCAGGUUCGCACGAGGAUUCGAGGUGAGCGACAUCUGGUCCGCAAUGACCCCAGCAGUCACCCAGUGCGGGUCACCUAGCUGAGAUCCAGCCACACGCUGUAUUUCAUUCACGGAGCCUUUGGUCAUGUCUUCUUCGCGUCCCCUUUCGGUCCUACACUGGCUGGCCACCGACCCUUUGCCGGGCAUGCGGCUGGGCCCUGUCCCUAAGGGAGUCACAGUGCAGCACCCACUCCACAGAGUCGGAGAUGAGGGUGUCACAGCCAGCACGUCACAGCGCACCCUGGGCACUGACUGCUCUCCAGUGCUUCAGCGGCAGAGGCCAGACCUCAAGGCUUGAUUUUUCUGAGCACGGAAGGACACUACCACCUCUGUCAUCGGGGCCAGGGCAAGUGGGCACCAACAGUAUGUACUCGAUGCUGGGACGAGCCACAGACCGAAGCACCCAGUGGUGGACUGGUACCCUGACAGGUGACCCAGACUCAAACUGGCUUCAUUUUUUGGUACCAGGGACUGAACUCAGGACCUUGCACUUUCAAGGCAGGUGCUCGCCCUGAGCUAAAUCCCUGGCAGGAGAUGGCUUCUUUUUGGUAAAUCCCUGUUAUAUCCCGAGGGCCACGUGGCAUGUCCUGCCUGCACAAAGAUGAGGUCCCUCCAGGCAUGGAUAGUCAAUUCUGUCGCGCAAGAUCACCUCCAUUGACCUUCCUAGGGAGCUGUUUCCUGUUUCACAGUUGGGACUGCAGACUCAGAGAGGGAAGAAUUUGCUCAGGGACACACAGCUUGGGUGCCCUGCCCUUAACCCUGCCACAGAACUCAAGUUCUGGCUGGCUCAGUGUGAUAUAAAUGUCCAUAUUUCUUUCCACUCCUCUGUCCCAAGUGGGCAGAGCAUAGAUAUCCGAGGGAAAGAGUCAGAUUCAAAGUGACUUCUCAGAGGCCAGGGAUUUGGCUCAGUGGCACCAAGCCUGCCUUGCAAGUAUAAGGUCGUGAGUUCGAGCCCCGGUAACUAAAAAAAGCUAAAACAAAGUGACUUCUCAUUUUUGAGCCUCAAAAACAGCCAGCUUGACAGGAAAUAUAGGGCUGUGGCAGCCUCUCCCGCUUCCUCAAAUUGUACUUGGGCCAGGUGAUAUCCCAAAUGGGUCACCCACAAGGUGCUGCUCCUAACGGCUCCUGUCACACCUCCAACUGAUGACAACUUUAAAAUGAUAGAAACCAUGGCAGAAACUGUCUUUUUGGCUGGGCGCGGAGGUGCAGUAAUCCCAGCACUCGGGAGGCUGAGGCAGGAGGAUCACUGUGAGUUCGAGACCAGCCUGGGCUACAUAGUGAGUUCCAGGGCAGUCUCAAUUACAUAGUGAGACCCUGUCUCAAAAAAAAACCCAAACAAACAAAGAAACUGUCUUUUUGGCUCCAUCUCCCCACAAGACAUAGUUUCUUCUUUCAAGAGUCCCUUUCAGGUACAGUCUAUGUCCCCUUCCUCUAGAAUCCAGCUCUCAAUAGACAAGACACUCAACCAAAAUAAGAACUCAACUGCUACACUGGGAGGGUGAAUAGUUUCUCAUUGUCUUUCUUGGGAUUGUCUAUACCAAGACAAAAUUCAACAUACAUUUGUAUUCCACUUAAAACAAACUCAGCGUGGAUGUGGCAGGUGGCCCCCAGACCCCAGAAAAUGCUGAUGAGAGCUUCCUUACAGAACUAGGAGGGUUGGGGCAUUGUUUCCAGGCUGUUAGCCCGGGUCCUAAUUAAAGAAAGGAAGCCGGGACUAUUUGGGGGCUCCCAGGGGCAACCUCACACCUCACCAUUUAAUUUGCAUACAAAUAAGAGGGACUCACCCAGCUUGGGCAUAUCCAGUUAGCUACCAGGCUACUUACAAUGUGGCACAAUAGUGCCCGCAGAGCUGCUGGACUUCCUCGGGGCCAAUGAGGCUGGCUCUCUGAGGGUUGCGGCCCUCUACAGGAGUGGAAAGGUGGACAGCAGGCAGGCACAGCACGAGAGCACUGCAAGGAGCCCCAAGGUCUGAGGUCUAGCCGGCCAUUCUGCUUGUUCACUGGCUGUGCAACUCUCACCAGUCACCUAACCUCUAUGGCCUCAGUUUGGGGGCGGUUAUAAAACAAGAAGGCAAACUUGUGCUCCUAGACUACCAAGUGGAGCAAGCAAUGAAUCAAAAGUGAUAGAUAGCCUCUUUCUGGCCUCACUCUAGGACAGUGUAAGAGUGUCAGGCACCUGUGAGGCCAGAUUCCAUAGACACCCAUUUAACAGUGCUAAGAGGCAUGAAUGAAGAAAAACCAGAACCCAGAAUUUGGAUCUCAAGAACUG
rnacentral:lncRNA from 1 species